rnacentral:rRNA from 1 species
UACGGAGGGUGCAGGCGUUAUCCGGAUUCACUGGGUUUAAAGGGUGCGUAGGCGGGUAGGUAAGUCAGUGGGGAAAUCUUCGAGCUUAACUCGGAAACUGCCUUUGAUACUAUCUAUCUUGAAUAUUGUGGAGGUAAGCGGAAUAUGUCAUGUAGCGGUGAAAUGCUUAGAUAUGACAUAGAACACCUAUUGCGAAGGCAGCUUACUACGCAUAUAUUGACGCUGAGGCACGAAAGCGUGGGGAUCAAACAGG